GACAGAGGGUGCAAACGUUGUUCGGAAUUACUGGGCGUAAAGCGCGUGUAGGCGGCGUAGCAAGUCGGGCGUGAAAGCCCACGGCUCAACCGUGGAAGAGCACUCGAAACUGCUGCGCUAGAGUUCUGGAGAGGAAGGCGGAAUGCUUGGUGUAGAGGUGAAAUUCGUAGAUAUCAAGCGGAACACCGGUGGCGAAGGCGGCCUUCUGGACAGUGACUGACGCUGAAACGCGAAAGCGUGGGGAGCAAACAGG
rnacentral:rRNA from 2 species